rnacentral:rRNA from 1 species
GAUGAACGCUGGCGGCGUGCCUAAUACAUGCAAGUCGAGCGAACAGAUGAGGAGCUUGCUCCUCUGACGUUAGCGGCGGACGGGUGAGUAACACGUGGAUAACCUACCUAUAAGACUGGGAUAACUUCGGGAAACCGGAGCUAAUACCGGAUAAUAUAUUGAACCGCAUGGUUCAAUAGUGAAAGACGGUUUUGCUGUCACUUAUAGAUGGAUCCGCGCCGCAUUAGCUAGGUGGUAAGGUAACGGCUUACCAAGGCAACGAUGCGUAGCCGACCUGAGAGGGUGAUCGGCCACACUGGAACUGAGACACGGUCCAGACUCCUACGGGAGGCAGCAGUAGGGAAUCUUCCGCAAUGGGCGAAAGCCUGACGGAGCAACGCCGCGUGAGUGAUGAAGGUCUUCGGAUCGUAAAACUCUGUUAUUAGGGAAGAACAAAUGUGUAAGUAACUAUGCACGUCUUGACGGUACCUAAUCAGAAAGCCACGGCUAACUACGUG